AGUAAAGACUUAAAAUUUAAAAGACUUGACGGUACCUCACAACACCCUAGAGGAGCCUGUCUAAUAACCGAUACCCCACGAUCAACCCAACCCCCACUUGCCCAACAGUCUAUAUACCGCCGUCGCCAGCCUACCUUGUGAAAGAAACAAAGUAAGCAAAAUAGCCACACGCUAAAACGACAGGUCGAGGUGUAACUUAUGUGGGGGACAAAGAUGGGCUACAUUUUCUAACACAGAAAAUACGAAUAAACUAUGAAAAAGAAACUGAAGGUGGAUUUAGCAGUAUACAAAGAACAUAAUACUUAAUAGAAACUAAUGCAAUGAGGUGCGUACACACCGCCCGUCAUCCCUGUCAACUUACCACAAACAUCCAUAAAAAUACUACCAACCACAAACAGGGCAAGUCGUAACAAGGUAAGUGGUACA
rnacentral:rRNA from 1 species